UAAUAGCGUAUAUUAAAGUUGUUGCAGUUAAAAAGCUCGUAGUUGGAUCUUGGGGUCGGAACGGCUGUCGGGCGAUGCUCGGACGGCCGGUUCGGCUCCUUACUUCUGAGGGCCGCGUCACUUUUCACUAAGGGGCGUUGGGGCUCAGAUCGUUUACUUUGAAAAAAUUAGAGUGUUCAAAGCAGGCCUUUGCUUGAAUACAUUAGCAUGGAAUAAUGGAAUAGGACUGCGGUUCUAUUUUGUUGGUUUCUAGGACCGAAGUAAUGAUUAAUAGGGAUAGUUGGGGCCGUUUGUAUUCUGUUGUCAGAGGUGAAAUUCUUGGAUUUACGGAAGACAAACUUCUGCGAAAGCAUUCGGCAAGGAUGUUUNCAUUAA
rnacentral:rRNA from 1 species